rnacentral:rRNA from 1 species
UACAGAGGUCUCAAGCGUUGUUCGGAUUCAUUGGGCGUAAAGGGUGCGUAGGCGGCGCGGUAAGUCGGGUGUGAAAUCUCGGGGCUUAACUCCGAAACUGCAUUCGAUACUGCCGUGCUUGAGGACUGGAGAGGAGACUGGAAUUUACGGUGUAGCGGUGAAAUGCGUAGAUAUCGGGAGGAACACCAGAGGCGAAGGCGGCGACCUGGACAGAUACUGACACUGAACUACGAAAGCGUGGGGAGCAAACAGGG